rnacentral:misc_RNA from 1 species
GGCUUCUUUACGAGUCGCCCAGCCUUUAAAGGAUAUAUCAGGAUGCUGAGUGGAUAUUACUCGGCAGCACGACAGCUCGAAUUCCUUGUUGGAAGGAAAUCUGGUAGUCCCAAUACUUUUAGUCUCGGUGAUGCUUUGGGGAUUGCACAGCACCAUGAUGCAGUGACUGGUACUGCUAAGCAACAUACUACAAAUGACUACAUGAAA